rnacentral:lncRNA from 1 species
UUGACCCCGGUUUUUAAAUGCAAAGGAGCCAUUGACCCUGUUUUGUUCAUUGAACAUAACGGUGUUAAAUAAAACAUAAAUAGACGUUUUUACCCUUACAUAUUUGAACCUACUUUUUAAAUACUUAUUGUAUAUUUGGCCCAAUUUUAUACACCUAUCUCUUUUAACAAAUAAUUUAAUUGUAAUAUUUGGUUCAUGUUUAAUAUUUAAGACAAAUUUGUUUGAUAUUUGACUGAAGUUCGAUUAAAUUGACAAAUUAUAAUAAAAUUUCAGGAAUCUCCAAUCCAUUUCAUCAAAUUUAUCAAACUUGACUACUGCAAAGUCAGGCCACUUUAAAAUUUCACAAACAGCUCAGGAAACUCCAAUCCAUUUCAUCCUGAGCUCCAGAUCUGCAUAUUAUGCAAAGACCAGAACUGCAACCAGAGUUUCAACAUUAUGCAAACAAGAUUGAUGAGGAGCAGUCAGCUUGUCCAUCGACCACCCCCCCCGCCGCCGAUGAGGAGCACGUUGGAGAGGAAGCACACAUCCACCGGCUCG